rnacentral:lncRNA from 1 species
GGCAGUCGAUCUGCCCAAAUCACUGACCCAAUCGCUAGGCAGACUGAGCUGCCCAGCAGUGAUCUGCCCAAAUCGCCAGACAAGGCAGAAUUCGAUCUGCCCAAAUCAAUAAUCCAGGCAGAGUCCAGCUCCAAGCAGACCAAGGCAGACCAGCAACCAAUGGAAAAAUUUAAGGUACCUCCUCCCUUCCCAAAGAGAUUUGCAAGGUCCC